ensembl:lncRNA
CAACAGGAGCAGAAUGACAUUAAAUAUUCAGGUAUAUAGGUUUAAGUGUUUGGUAGGACUCUGUGUUCUAAUGCAUUAACAAGAUGCAACAAACUAAUGUAAUGGACAUAUUUCUGAUUGUGUACUGUGCAGUUGCAACUAAUCUUCUCAAGGAGAAUUCACUGACAGGUACAGGACACUUGAAAGCAAUUCAGUGAUAGAGGACCGGUUGGACCCAGAGAGACUGAGUUUGGCUGAAAGGAUUGUGAGAUGAAGAAGGCAAACCCCAACCCACGGGGGGAGCUAAGGAAAGCUCCGGUUCUGGACAACAUUUGCUGGGAUGCGGAAGACCAACUGCACAACAUCAUGCCCCGCUGGUUGGGUCCAUACCAGGUACACCUCAUUUGCAUUCCAGAGUUCUGAUCGAUGAAAUUGCCAUCACAGUAGCUGAGAGAGGAACCUGGGGUCGACGCCACACACGCUACAGGAGGACUUCAAUGCACUGUGCCAAAGAUUUGGCACAGUGAAUUGAAGUCACUGAGGGAAAAGUGAGCUUUUUGGUGCUAGUAACCAUCACUUCCGACCAGGCCUGCAGCUAUAGAGUUCUUAGACAAAACUGUUCAUCUUGGCAUUCACAAAGGAGAACACAGAUUCCCCUGACCUGGCUGAUAAAGCAGCUAUAAUGGAGACAACAAGAGUUGUGUCAUUGUAACCUACAUUUCAACUAUGAAGGACAACACUUUGGAAUAAACAUUUUUCCAUCUGUUACAUCGGUCUGCCAAGAAAUGGUUCAUAACUGACUGUCUGAUGUUUGAAGGAGCAGAAUAUUUGUUAUGACUUUGGAAGUACAUCAUAUGGGAACCACGAGAGGACUUUUCAGUGAAUCAAGAAAUUGACAUAAGAUGUCUUUGUACUGGUAACAAAUUGAAGGAUGAUUGGUGUUUACACACCCACGUGUCGAUGCUACAUAUACCAUACUGUCAGUAUAUAUGUCACCUGAAAUUACUUCCUUACUCCCUCUCUACCCACAUAUGCACCAGGGUUUGACGGGUCGUAGUAAAUACUUUUUAAAAACUGUUAAGACAUCGUAGAGCAUUGGCUCAAUAACUAGAAGUAAUACAUGUUUAACAUUGUUUUAUUUGAAUCUUUGGAAUUACACGUCAUCCGUGAAUUUCAGAAAAGCUACACAAAACAUUCAGAUUUCUGCUGAUAAGAAAAUCUAUAAACAUACAAUAGGUGCCCAAUUUUAAAGUCUUUGUUGUCAGCAUUUAAAAAUGUCAGACGUUUAUACAAGAAGUUGUUUAGAUCAUUUGAUUCAACAACGUUUGACAACUAUUGCGGGCAGUCAUCAGAUGUGUUCAUGACCGUUUCCAUAUGCUUGUUCAGAUUAUUAAAUGACUUUAUACUGACAUGGUCUUAGUUAUUAAAAAGUCUACAACCA